GAUAGAAGUGCCUGAUUAAAGGAUUAUUCUGAUAGAGUAAAUUAAGUAGAAUUUCUACCUUUAUUA
rnacentral:tRNA from 1 species